rnacentral:rRNA from 1 species
CGUAGCCGAUGCACAUACGGUAGAAAUUCCGUAGCCUCUAUCAAUUUAAACACAGGGACACUUUUGAAGGGUUCAGCCGGGCGAUGGUUGCCCCGGUCGUAAGGGACUGCAAAUGAGCGGGAAGUGAAUUUGGAAGAAGGCGAGAAAAGCUGUGUGAAUAGAAGAUAGAGCCCGUACCGCAAACCGACACAGGUAGAUAGGAAGAAGAUUCUAAGGCCAACGGGAGAAGGGUUGUUAAGGAACUCGGCAAGUUGACCCCGUAACUUAGGGAGAAGGGGUGCUCUUUAAGGAGAGCCGCAGAGAAUAGGCCCAAGCGACUGUUUAGUAAAAACACAGCUCUAUGCUAAAUCGAAAGAUGACGUAUAUGGGGUGACACCUGCCCGGUGCCGGAAGGUUAAGAGGAGGAGUGAGAGCUCUGAAUUGAAGCCCCGGUAAACGGCGGCCGUAACUAUAACGGUCCUAAGGUAGCGAAAUUCCUUGUCAGGUAAGUUCUGACCCGCACGAAUGGUGUAACGAUUUGGGCACUGUCUCAACAACCUGCCCGGCGAAAUUGUAGUACCGGUGAAGAUGCCGGUUACCCGCGACUAGACGGAAAGACCCCAUGGAGCUUUACUGCAGCUUAAUAUUGAAUUUCGGUAUUUCAUGUACAGGAUAGGUGGGAGACAGGGAACCAUAGGCGUCAGCUUAUGGGGAGUCGACCUUGGGAUACCACUCUUGAGGUGCUGGAAUUCUAACCUGUGGCUCUGAAUCGAGUCAGGGGACAUAGUUAGGCGGGCAGUUUGACUGGGGCGGUCGCCUCCAAAAAGGUGACGGAGGCGCUCAAAGGUUCGCUCAGCAUGGAUGGAAACCAUGCUUUUGAGUGUAAACGCAAAAGCGAGCCUAACUGCGAGACUGACGGGUCGAGCAGUAACGAAAGUUGGAGUUAGUGAUCCGGCGGUAUGUGAGUGGAAAUGCCGUCGCUCAACGGAUAAAAGCUACCCUGGGGAUAACAGGCUGAUCUCCCCCAAGAGUCCACAUCGACGGGGAGGUUUGGCACCUCGAUGUCGGCUCAUCGCAUCCUGGGGCUGAAUUCGGUCCCAAGGGUUUGGCUGUUCGCCAAUUAAAGCGGUACGCGAGCUGGGUUCAGAACGUCGUGAGACAGUUCGGUCCCUAUCUGUCGUGGGCGUAGGAUAUUUGAAAGGAGCUGUCCCUAGUACGAGAGGACCGGGAUGGACGCACCGCUGGUGCACCAGUUGUCAUGCCAAUGGCACAGCUGGGCAGCUAUGUGCGGAACGGAUAAACGCUGAAGGCAUCUAAGCGUGAAGCCGACCUUAAGAUAAGAUAUCCCUUCAUAAGAGUAAGACCUCUCAUAGACUAUGAGUUUGAUAGGCCUAAGGUGUAAGCACAGUGAUGUGUUCAGCCUGCAGGUACUGAUCGGUCGAGGGCUUUUCC